rnacentral:rRNA from 1 species
GACGAACGCUGGCGGCGUGCUUAACACAUGCAAGUCGAGCGGUAAGGCCCUUUCGGGGGUACGACGAGCGGCGAACGGGUGAGUAACACGUGGGUGACCUGCCCUCAGCUCUGGGAUAAGCCUGGGAAACCGGGUCUAAUACUGGAUAUGACUCCAUGACGCAUGUUGUGGGGUGGAAAGCCUUGUGCGGCUGAGGAUGGGCCCGCGGCCUAUCAGCUUGUUGGUGGGGUGAGGGCCUACCAAGGCGACGACGGGUAGCCGGCCUGAGAGGGCGACCGGCCACACUGGGACUGAGACACGGCCCAGACUCCUACGGGAGGCAGCAGUGGGGAAUCUUGCGCAAUGGGCGAAAGCCUGACGCAGCGACGCCGCGUGAGGGAUGACGGCCU